rnacentral:rRNA from 1 species
GACGAACGCUGGCGGCGUGCUUAACACAUGCAAGUCGAACGGAAAGGCCCUGCUUUUGUGGGGUGCUCGAGUGGCGAACGGGUGAGUAACACGUGAGUAACCUGCCCUUGACUUUGGGAUAACUUCAGGAAACUGGGGCUAAUACCGGAUAGGAGCUCCUGCUGCAUGGUGGGGGUUGGAAAGUUUCGGCGGUUGGGGAUGGACUCGCGGCUUAUCAGCUUGUUGGUGGGGUAGUGGAUUACCAAGGCUUUGACGGGUAGCCGGCCUGCGAGGGUGACCGGCCACAUUGGGACUGAGAUACGGCCCAGACUCCUACGGGAGGCAGCAGUGGGGAAUAUUGCACAAUGGGCGGAAGCCUGAUGCAGCAACGCCGCGUGCGGGAUGACGGCCUUCGGGUUGUAAACCGCUUUCGCCUGUGACGAAGCGUGAGUGACGGUAAUGGGUAAAGAAGCACCGGCUAACUACGUG